AUUGAACGCUGGUGGCAGGCCUAAUACAUGCAAGUAGAACGCAGUUGCGAACGGGUGAGUAACGCGUAGGUAACUGCCUGGUAGCGGGGGAUAACUAUUGGAAACGAUAGCUAAUACCGCAUACUACCAGAUGGACCUGCGUUGUAUUAGCUAGUUGGUGGGGUAACGGCUCACCAAGGCAACGAUACAUAGCCGACCUGGGAGGGGUAUCGGCCACACUGGGACUGAGACACGGCCCAGACUCCUACGGGAGGCAGCAGUAGGGAAUCUUCGGCAAUGGGGGGAACCCUGACCGGGCAACGCCGCGUGAGUGAAGAAGGUUUUCGGAUCGUAAAGCUCUGUUGUUAAGGAAGCGGUACUUAACCAGAAAGGGACGGCUAACUACGUGCCAGCAGCCGCGGUAAUUC
rnacentral:rRNA from 1 species